GAGAGACUUACAUGCUUUGGCCAUC
rnacentral:piRNA from 1 species